AUGGAUGCAUUUACAGCGGUUCCUGAUCCAUAUGAUCGUGUCUACGAGAAUAUACCUGUAAGUACUCACACGCUGGCACCUAAACCUGAUUGCAAGCAUUAUGGUGCAAAGAGGUUCCAGUAUGAGACAAAUGGAUUUUGUUGCCAGUCUGGAAAAGUUAAGUUGGCACACUUAGAACCACCCUUGGAACUUAAAAUGCUAUACACAAGUUCAGAUCCCAAUGCCGUGCAUUUUAGGGAUAACAUUUGAUACUUCAAUGGACACUUUUCAUUCACUACCCUUGGAGUCAGUCUGGACAACAGAUACACAAACAUGAAGUCAGGAGUCUAUACGUUUCGAGCUCACGGUCAGAUUUACCACAACAUCUUCUCAUUUGGUCCAACUCAAGAUGGGCCAAAGCAUUUGGAACUCUACUUCUAUGAUGACGAUCCCGGUUUACAACAUAGGUUUCGGCGCUCCCCGAACCUAGACCGAGAUGUCAUUCGAAGGCUUGUUGACAUCCUGAAGGAUAAUCCUUAUUCUGAAACGUUCAGGAAUCUAGGUGGAGUCGAUGACCUUGAGGAAUACCGUAUUGAACUGAACACCGACAUGAGGUUGUACCAACGGAGGUAUAAUGUGCCUAUAUCAUCGGAGGUUGCAGCUAUUUGGGUUGAGGGUAGUGAACUCUGUAAGUACUUUGAGCGUAGCAUAGUAUUGUUCGGCAACGACAACAAGAGAUAUAGCAUCCAACCAUAUUAUGGAUGUUAUGAUCCGUUGUCUUACCCUUUAUUCUUCCCAAGAGGGGAGAUUGGUUGGCAUCCUGAAAUCCCAAAGAAUGGUGUCAGCUUGAAUGAGAUGCUUCAGUCCCGUCGCAGUGGUCGACAGAGUCUAGGUAAUUCAUAUAACGAAAAUAACAUGUGUUAA
rnacentral:rRNA from 1 species